ACCAUUUGUCUGCAAUAUUUUGGCUUGAUGUAGGCUAGUAUUGGCUUCUGCAGGUUUACAAUAUUCACGUAUCGAUGCGGUUUUGGCCAAUGGUUGUAGGCUUGUGCUCCGUGAUUCUAUUACCAUGAGGUUGGUGCUUUUGUAAGGAUGCAUUUGUGAUAUGCAGGUUUGGAUAUUGAUUCCCAUAUCCUUGCUUGGAAAUCUAAUUUGACAGUCUUAUUAGCCUCAAAAACUGUUUCCAAUGAAUUUCCCUGGAAAGCAACCAAUCAACAGAGCAACACAGAAGCGCUUCAGCACUCCCAAUAUCAACCUUCUCAGAGUGUUUGCCCGACAAUACUUCGGGGCAACCUAUGCAGGGCUUUCAGCCAAUCCAGUCAAGUUUUGACCUUCCCAAAUUCUCAUAUUGAGUUCAAAAUCUGUAGGCUUUAACUUUCUUGAUUUUUCAGGUUUGAUAUCUCUGUGCACGACUCUUGCGAGUCUUUGUUGCUGCUGAUGCAUUGCUGGAUGUUUGUUAUGAUGUAUUUCGGCUAGUGGUUGUGGUAUGCAGGUUUUUCCAUGUGCGAUUCUGAUGAAAACCAGGUGGUUCUGCAUCAAAUUCUUCCUGCAUUGCUUGCCGGUUAUGCGCGACUAAGGACUUGUUGGCGAGGUUGCAGACCUUCACUUUUGAUGUCCAUUCGCCAUGUUCAGAACAAUUCUCACCCUAUCACAUUUGCUUGUAAUACAUAGUGCCUUAGGGUAGGUCAUUCAUCUGUGCUCAACCGUGUAUGUACUUCAUAAUUCGAGGCAUAUACGGACUGCCCAUAAUUGGAAUAACUGUAUGCCACACUUGUUGAUUUGUGAAUGUAAUUGUAAUUUUAGCA